UGCUGCGUCCGUCUGUCUGCCUGUAGCUGGGGGCUCACCCCUGUUACCGGGAAGCCGGCCGCCCUACGGACCUGCUGCCGAACCCCUCCAGCUGUAAAAGAAGCCGCAUCCCAGGAGCCACACGCUACGAAAGGAAGGAAGGGUCCUGCUGACUGUCAGCUGCAGUGACACAAGUACAUGUUGCCUGCUGUGCCACACCAAGGUGCUUUCAUUGCAUCCUCACUCUCUUAUGAUUGGUUGGAAGAAAGAGCUCAGAUGAGCACCACCCAGAACUACAGUCAAGCCCUCAUUUAUGUAAAAUGACUGAAAGUGACAAUGCCAAGUACAGAGGAACAUUUAGAGGACAAUACUGAAAUACUGGAACUAAUUUGCAUAUUUGUGAUGACCUUAUUUUACAAGCUUACACCACGUUCCAUAUGUAGGUCUGGAAGUUUUUGGACAUAGAUGAAUAACCUCCACUCAUGUCCAAUGUUAAUACAAGAAAGUAAACCAAAUACCGGUACCUUGAAGUGAGGUUGCAUUUCUAUUCAUAAUACUUCUCCUUGCCCAAUUUACUUUCUCCCUUUUUGCUGCCAUGGCAAACUGACAUAUUAGGAUCAAGUUCCCACAUAAUCUACUGACUUGUAUAUCACAGGA